GGUUCCCAUUAUGCCCACUUUCUGAAGGGUUUUUUUUUAUCAGAAAUGGGUGUUGGAUUUUGUCAAAGGCUUUUUCCACAUCUAUUGAGAGGAUCUUACGGUUUUUCUUCUUCAGUUUGUUAAUGUGCUGUGUCACACCGAUGGAUUUGCGGAUAUUGAAGAACCCUUGCAUCCCUGGGAUAAAUCCCACUUGAUCCUGAUGUACAAUCCUUUUAAUGUAUUGUUGGAUUUGGUUUGCUAGUAUUUUGUUGAGGAUUUUUGCAUUAAUGUUCAUCAUUGAAAUUGGCCUGUAGUUUUCUUUUUUUGUGGUAUCUUUGUCUGGUUUUGGUAUCAGGGUGAUGGUGGCCUCAUAGAAUGAGUUUGGGAGUAUCCCUUGCUCUGCAAUUUUUGGAAAUAGUUUCAGAAGGAGAGGUGUUAGCUCUUCUCUAAAUGUUUGAGAGAAUUUGCCUGUGAAGCCAUCUGGUCCUGGACUUCUGUUUGUUGGAAGUUUUUUAAUCAUGGUUUCAAUUUCAGUCUUUGUGAUGGGUCCAUUCAUCUUUUCUAUUUCAUCUUGGUUUAGUCUUGGAAGAUUGUACUUUUCUAAGAAUUUCUUGUUUAUUUGGGCUUUUUCUUGUUUCCUGAGGUGGGCUUGUAUUGCUAUAAACUUUCCUCUUAGAACGGCUUUUGCUGCAUCCCAUAGGUUUUGGAGUGUCGUAUCUUCGUUGUCAUUUGCUGCUAGGUAUUUUUUAAUUUCCUCUUUGAUUUCUUCAGUGAUCCAUUGGUUGUUUAGUAGCAUGUUGUUGAGUCUCCACGUGUUUGUGUUUUUUGCAGUUUUUUUCUUGUUGUUGAUUUCCAGUCGUAUAGCAUUGUGGUCGGAAAAGAUGCUUGAUAUGAUUUCAAUUUUCUUAAAGUUACUGAGGUUGGAUUUGUAGCCCAGGAUAUGAUCAAUCUUAGAGAAUGUUCCAUGUGCACUUGAGAAGAAUGUGUAUUCUGUUGCUUUUGGAUGGAAUGUCCUAUAAAUAUCUAUUAAGUCCAUCUGGUUUAAUGCUUCAUUCAGGGCCUGUGUUUCCUUAUUGAUUUUCUGUCUGGUUGAUCUGUCCAUUGCUGUAAGUGGGGUGUUAAAGUCCCCCACUAUGAUUGUGUUAUUGUCGAUUUCUCCUUUUAAGGUUGUUAGCAGUUGCCUUAUAUAUUGUGGUGAACCUGUGUUGGGUGCGUAGAUAUUUAAAAUUGUUAUAUCAUCUUCUUGGAUUGAUCCUUUGAUCAUUAUGUAAUGUCCUUCUUUGUCCCUUAAAAUAUUCUUCAUUUUAAAGUCUAUUUUGUCUGAUAUGAGUAUUGCUACUCCAGCUUUCUUUUGAUCCCCGUUU
rnacentral:lncRNA from 1 species